rnacentral:rRNA from 1 species
GCUCAGAAUCAACGCUGGCGGCAUGCCUAACACAUGCAAGUCGAGCGAGAAAGUGUAGCAAUACAUGAGUACAGCGGCGCACGGGUGAGUAACACGUGGAUAACCUGCCUCAAAGUGGGGAAUAACACCGGGAAACCGGUGCUAAUACCGCAUAUUCUGACGAGAUCUGCGGAUUUGUCAGGAAAGGAGCAAUUCGCUAUGAGAGGGGUCCGCGGCUGAUUAGCUAGUUGGUGAGGUAAUGGCUCACCAAGGCAACGAUCAGUAGCCGGUCUGAGAGGACGGUCGGCCACACUGGAACUGAGACACGGUCCAGACUCCUACGGGAGGCAGCAGUGGGGAAUUUUUCGCAAUGGGGGAAACCCUGACGAAGCAAUGCCGCGUGGAUGAUGAAGUAUUUCGGUACGUAAAAUCCUUUCGACAGGGACGAAACCGCAAGGUUGACGGUACCUGUAGAAGAAGCCCCGGCUAACUCCGUGCCAGCAGCCGCGGUAAUACGGGGGGGCAAGCGUUGUUCGGAAUUACUGGGCGUAAAGGGUGCGUAGGCGGCUUUCUAAGUUGGAUGUGAAAACUCUGGGCUCAACCCAGAGCCUGCAUCCAAAACUGGAGAGCUUGGGUUCUGGAGGGGAAAGCGGAAUUCCUGGUGUAGCGGUGAAAUGCGUAGAUAUCAGGAGGAACACCGGUGGCGAAGGCGGCUUUCUGGACAGAUACCGACGCUGAGGCACGAAAGCUAGGGGAGCAAACAGGAUUAGAUACCCUGGUAGUCCUAGCCCUAAACGAUGGAUACUUGCUGUGAGGGGGAUUGAAACCCUUUGUGGCGAAGCUAACGCAUUAAGUAUACCC